ensembl:misc_RNA
UAGUUCAAAAGGCUUCGUGUUCAGCGUGGCCUCAAGGAAUGUGGCCCUUGAUCU